rnacentral:rRNA from 1 species
CCUACGGGAGGCUGCAGUGAGGAAUAUUGGUCAAUGGACGAGAGUCUGAACCAGCCAAGUAGCGUGAAGGAUGACUGCCCUAUGGGUUGUAAACUUCUUUUAUAAAGGAAUAAAACGAGGCACGUGUGCCUUUUUGCAUGUACUUUAUGUAUAAGGAUCGGCUAACGCCGGUCCAGCAGCCGCGGUAAUACGGUGGAUCCGAGCGUUGCCCGGACUUGUUGGGUUUAAAGGGAGCGUAGAUGGGUUGUAAAGUCAGUUGUGAAAGUUUGCGGCUCAACCGUAAAAUAGCAAUUGAUACUGGCAGGCUUGAGUGCAGGUGAGGUAGGCGGAAUUCGAGGUGUAGCGGUGAAAUGCUUAGAUAUCACGAAGAACCCCGAUGGCGAAGGCAGCUUACUAGACUGUAACUGACAUUGAUGCCCGAAAGUGUGGGUAGCAAACAGGAUUAGAUACCCGAGUAGUC